rnacentral:rRNA from 1 species
UACGUAGGGGGCAAGCGUUAUCCGGAUUUACUGGGUGUAAAGGGAGCGCAGGCGGCGUGGCAAGUCAGAUGUGAAAACCCGGGGCCCAACCCCGGGAGUGCAUUGGAAACUGGCGAGCUGGAGUGCCGGAGAGGUAAGCGGAAUUCCUAGUGUAGCGGUGAAAUCCGUAGAUAUCUGGAGGAACACCGGUGGCGAAGGCGGCCACCUGGACGACAACUGACGCUGAGGUGCGAAAGCGUGGGUAGCAAACAGG